CCUACGGGUGGCAGCAGUCGAGAAUCAUUCACAAUGGGGGAAACCCUGAUGGUGCGACGCCGCGUGGGGGAAUGAAGGUCUUCGGAUUGUAAACCCCUGUCAUGUGGGAGCAAAUUAAAAAGAUAGUACCACAAGAGGAAGAGACGGCUAACUCGGUGCCAGCAGCCGCGGUAAUACAGAGGUCUCAAGCGUUGUUCGGAAUCACUGGGCGUAAGGCGUGCGUAGGCUGUUUCGUAAGUCGUGUGUGAAAGGCGCGGGCUCAACCCGCGGACGGCACAUGAUACUGCGAGACUAGAGUAAUGGAGGGGGAACCGGAAUUCUCGGUGUAGCAGUGAAAUGCGUAGAUAUCGAGAGGAACACUCGUUGCGAAGGCGGGUUCCUGGACAUUAACUGACGCUGAGGCACGAAGGCCAGGGGAGCGAAAGGGAUUAGAUACCCCAGUAGUC
rnacentral:rRNA from 1 species